GAUGAAGAACGUAGCGAAAUGCGAUAAGUAAUGUGAAUGGCAGAAUUCAGUGAAUCAUCGAAUCUUUGAACGCACCUUGCGCCCUUUGGCUAUUCCGAAGGGCAUGCCUGUUUGAGUAUCAUGAACACCUCAACUCUCAUGGCUUGCCAUGAUGAGCUUGGACUUUUGGGGGUCUUGCUGGCCUGUGGUCAGCUCCUCUCAAAUGAAUUAGCCUGCCAGUGUUUGGUGGCAUCACAGGUGUGAUAACUAUCUACGCUUGUGGUUUUCCACCAGGUAACCUUCAGUGAUGAAGGUUCGCUGGGGCUCAUAAACGUCUCUCCUCAGUGAGGACAGCUCUUUGAACGUUUGAUCUCAAAUCAGGUAGGACUACCCGCUGAACUUAAGCAUAUCAAUAAGCGGAGGA
rnacentral:misc_RNA from 1 species